rnacentral:rRNA from 1 species
GAUGAACGCUGGCGGUAUGCUUAACACAUGCAAGUCGAACGAGAGUUUUUAACUCUAGUGGCGAACGGGUGCGUAAUACGUGAGAAUCUGCCCUUAGGAGAAGAAUAACUACUGGAAACGGUAGCUAAGUCUUCAUAUGCCGAGAGGUGAAAUAGUUUCAACUGCCUAAGGAUGAGCUCACGCCUGAUUAGCUUGUUGGUGAGGUAACGGCUUACCAAGGCCACGAUCAGUAGCUGGUUUGAGAGAACGAUCAGCCACACUGGGACUGAGACACGGCCCAGACUCCUCCGGGAGGCAGCAGUGAGGAAUUUUCCGCAAUGGGCGAAAGCCUGACGGAGCAAUACCGCGUGAGGGAUGAAGGAUUUUGGUCUGUAAACCUCUUUUCUCAAAAAAGAAGUUCUGACGGUACUUGAGGAAUAAGCAUCGGCUAACUCCGUGCCAGCAGCCGCGGUAAUACGGGGGAUGCAAGCGUUAUCCGGAAUCAUUGGGCGUAAAGCGCCUGUAGGUUGUUUAGUAAGUCUGUUGUUAAAGACCAGGGCUUAACCCUGGGAAAGCAAUGGAAACUACUAGACUUGAGUAUGGCAGGGGUAGAGGGAAUUUCUAGUGUAGCGGUGAAAUGCGUAGAUAUUAGAAAGAACACCGGCGGCGAAAGCGCUCUACUGGACCAUUACUGACACUCAGAGGCGAAAGCUAGGGGAGCAAAAGGGAUUAGAUACCCCUGUAGUCCUAGCCGUAAACGAUGGAUACUAGAUGUUGCGCAAUUUGUGCAGUAUCUUAGCUAACGCGUUAAGUAUCCCGCCUGGGGAGUACGCUCGCAAGGGUGAAACUCAAAGGAAUUGACGG